AUGUGGGAGGUGAUGACAUGUUGUGAUGCGGAGCAUCCUACGGUCAUCCCCAUGGAUGUACCUUCGUCUCCCAAGACACCACGUGGACCCAUGACUAGAGCUCGUGCAAGGGCUAUCGAAACCGAGGUGAACUCGCUCCUCUCCCAACUAACACAUUCCACAUGUGAGACAUGGCUACUACCUCAAGCAGAGAUCUUGUGUGUGAUCAGGUACUCGGAGGAAGGCCACGAGUCUGCUAUGACCAAUGGACAAGAUGGCGAGGACACCAAGCGCAAGAAGCAAGAGGAAGAGCUGCAGAAGAACUAUAGCCACCGAACGACCGGCCCUUACCGGACGUCCGGCGCCCUGAAAAUCAGCCGUGCCACCUAUCUAGAACCAAAAUGCUAG
rnacentral:rRNA from 1 species